UCCUGGCUCAGGAUGAACGCUAGCGGCAGGCUUAACACAUGCAAGUCGAGGGGCAUCGGGAGUAGCAAUACUGCCGGCGACCGGCGCAAGGGUGCGUAACGCGUGAGCAACAUGCCCGUAUCAGGGGGAUAAUCCAUGGAAACGUGGUCUAAUACCCCAUAGUAAUUAUGUAAGGCAUCUUAUAUAAUUUAAAGCUUUGGUGGAUACGGAUUGGCUCGCGUGACAUUAGCUAGAUGGUAAGGUAACGGCUUACCAUGGCUACGAUGUCUAGGGGUUCUGAGAGGAAGGUCCCCCACACUGGAACUGAGACACGGUCCAGACUCCUACGGGAGGCAGCAGUGAGGAAUAUUGGACAAUGGAUGGAAAUCUGAUCCAGCCAUGCCGCGUGCCAGGAAGACGGCCCUAUGGGUUGUAAACUGCUUUUGUAUGGGAGCAAUAAGGGCUACGCGUAGUCCGAUGAGAGUACCAUACGAAUAAGCACCGGCUAACUCCGUGCCAGCCGCCGC
rnacentral:rRNA from 1 species